rnacentral:rRNA from 1 species
UAGAGUUUGAUCCUGGCUCAGAUUGAACGCUGGCGGCAUGCCUUACACAUACAAGUCGAACGGCAGCACGGGAGCAAUCCUGGUGGCGAGUGGCGAACGGGUGAGUAAUAUAUCGGAACGUGCCCAGUCGUGGGGGAUAACGCAGCGAAAGCUGUGCUAAUACCGCAUACGAUCUACGGAUGAAAGCGGGGGAUCGCAAGACCUCGCGCGAUUGGAGCGGCCGAUAUCAGAUUAGCUAGUUGGUGGGGUAAAAGCUCACCAAGGCGACGAUCUGUAGCUGGUCUGAGAGGACGACCAGCCACACUGGAACUGAGACACGGUCCAGACUCCUACGGGAGGCAGCAGUGGGGAAUUUUGGACAAUGGGCGCAAGCCUGAUCCAGCAAUGCCGCGUGCAGGAUGAAGGCCUUCGGGUUGUAAACUGCUUUUGUACGGAACGAAACGGCUCUUUCUAAUAAAGAGGGCUAAUGACGGUACCGUAAGAAUAAGCACCGGCUAACUACGUGCCAGCAGCCGCGGUAAUACGUAGGUGCGAGCGUUAU